rnacentral:rRNA from 1 species
GAUGAACGCUGGCGGCGUGCCUAAUACAUGCAAGUCGAGCGAACAGAUGAGGAGCUUGCUCCUCUGACGUUAUCGGCGGACGGGUGAGUAACACGUGGAUAACCUACCUAUAAGACUGGGAUAACUACGGGAAACCGGAGCUAAUACCGGAUAAUAUAUUGAACCGCAUGGUUCAAUAGUGAAAGACGGUUUUGCUGUCACUUAUAGAUGGAUCCGCGCCGCAUUAGCUAGUUGGUAAGGUAACGGCUUACCAAGGCAACGAUGGGUAGCCGACCCGAGAGGGUGAACGGCCACACUGGAACUGAGACUCGGCCCAGACUCCGACGGGAGGCAGCAGUAGGGAAUCUUACGCAAGGGGCGAAAGCCUGACGGAGCAACGCCGCGUGAGUGAUGAAGGUCUUCGGCUCGUAAAACUCUGUUAUUAGGGAAGAACAAAUGUGUAAGUAACUAUGCACGUCUUGACGGUACCUAAUCAGAAAGCCACGGCUAACUACGUG